rnacentral:rRNA from 1 species
UACAGAGGGUGCAAGCGUUGUCCGGAAUUAUUGGGCGUAAAGAGCUCGUAGGUGGUUUGUUACGUCUGCUGUGAAAACCUAGGGCUUAACCCUGGGCUUGCAGUGGAUACGGGCAGACUAGAGGUAGGUAGGGGAGAAUGGAAUUCCUGGUGUAGCGGUGAAAUGCGCAGAUAUCAGGAGGAACACCGGUGGCGAAGGCGGUUCUCUGGGCCUUACCUGACACUGAGGAGCGAAAGCGUGGGGAGCGAACAGG